rnacentral:rRNA from 1 species
CCUACGUGUGGCAGCAGUGCGGAAUAUUGGUCAAUGGGCGCGAGCCUGAACCCGCCAAGUCGCGUGAGGGAAGACGGUCCUAUGGAUUGUACACCUCUUUUGUCGGGGAGCACAAGACGCCACGCGUGGCGUUCCGAGCGUACCCGCAGAAAACGCCUCGGCUAACUCCGUGCCAGCAGCCGCGGUAAUACGGAGGAUGCGAGCGUUAUCCGGAUUUAUUGGGUUUAAAGGGUGCGCAGGCGGAAGAUCAAGUCAGCGGUAAAAUUGAGAGGCUCAACCUCUUCGAGCCGUUGAAACUGGUUUUCUUGAGGGAGCGAGAAGGAUGCGGAAUGCGUGGUGUAGCGGUGAAAUGCAUAGAGAUCACGCAGAACUCCGAUUGCGAAGGCAGCAGACCGGCGCUCAACUGACGCUCAUGCACGAAAGGGUGGGUAUCGAACAGGAUUAGAUACCCCUGUAGGC